CCUACGGGGGGCAGCAGUGGGGAAUAUUGGACAAUGGGGGCAACCCUGAUCCAGCCAUGCCGCGUGUGUGAAGAAGGCCCUCGGGUUGUAAAGCACUUUCAGUGAGGAAGAACGCCUGGUGGUUAAUACCCAUCAGGAAAGACAUCACUCACAGAAGAAGCACCGGCUAACUCCGUGCCAGCAGCCGCGGUAAUACGGAGGGUGCGAGCGUUAAUCGGAAUUACUGGGCGUAAAGCGCGCGUAGGUGGCUUGAUAAGCCGGUUGUGAAAGCCCCGGGCUCAACCUGGGAACGGCAUCCGGAACUGUCAAGCUAGAGUGCAGGAGAGGAAGGUAGAAUUCCCGGUGUAGCGGUGAAAUGCGUAGAGAUCGGGAGGAAUACCAGUGGCGAAGGCGGCCUUCUGGACUGACACUGACACUGAGGUGCGAAAGCGUGGGUAGCAAACAGGAUUAGCUACCCCAGUAGUC
rnacentral:rRNA from 1 species